rnacentral:rRNA from 1 species
UACGUAGGGUGCAAGCGUUGUCCGGAAUUUAUUGGGCGUAAAAGAGCUCGUAGGCGGUUCGUCACGUCGGCUGUGAAAACCUGGGGCUCAACUCCGGGCCUGCAGCCGAUACGGGCGAACUAGAAUUCGGUAGGGGGAGACUGGAAUUCCUGGUGUAGCGGUGAAAUGCGCAGAUAUCAGGAGGAACACCGGUGGCGAAGGCGGGUCUCUGGGCCGAUAUUGACGCUGAGGAGCGAAAGCGUGGGGAGCGAACAGG